rnacentral:misc_RNA from 1 species
UCGGCAGUAUUCCUGCCUACGCACAAGUGAAAAAAUAGUGUGAUCUACUUGUGUUUCAAUGCGACAUAUGUUUUUGGUGAUAACGUGUCCGCUUUGCUUUUAAGAGGAAGGCGACCCUUGAAGUAAGAGGCCUCUGAACUUAACAAUGAACUCCACUGUGAUCCAAGGGAAUGCUUGAGAUCUCCCAGUGAUAUUAAUUUGUCGAACAAAGUCAUGUUAAGUUUAUACGAGCUUCUCUACAAAAGAGAGGAUGAAGGGAUCUUGCUUAAAUCAGAUUGUUGUUUUUUUUUUAUGAAAGGACUGCUUUUUAAUUUUUAUGUGUUUUUUUUUAAUUUGAAGCAUACCGUUUUUUAAUAGGACAUUAUAUUAAUUAUCUAAUUAAGCUUUGAGGGCUUUGGACUUUUUAUAACAAAUUGCUUACAAUUACUGACGUUGAUUAACUAUAUAUUUAACACAUCGUUAUGUCUUGAGUUUAUUUUGACAAUACAGCAAUGAAUGAUAUAUAAUCGGUCGACACUGAUAUAUGAAUAAAUACUUAACUAUAGAUUUCAAACUAUGAUAAAUAUAAAUAUUAAACUAAAUAAUUAUAUAAUUGGAAUAAAUGAUGUGCAAAUAU